CCUACGGGGGACAGCAGUGAGGAAUAUUGGUCAAUGGACGAGAGUCUGAACCAGCCAAGUAGCGUGAAGGAUGACUGCCCUAUGGGUUGUAAACUUCUGUUAUAUGGGAAUAAAAUGUUCCACGUGUGGGAUGUUGUAUGUACCAUAUGAAUAAGGAUCGGCUAACUCCGUGCCAGCAGCCGCGGUAAUACGGAGGAUCCGAGCGUUAUCCGGAUUUAUUGGGUUUAAAGGGAGCGUAGGUGGAUUGUUAAGUCAGUUGUGAAAGUUUGCGGCUCAACCGUAAAAUUGCCGUUGACACUGGCAGUCUUGCGUACAGUAGCGGUGGGCGGCAUUCGUGGUGUAGCGG
rnacentral:rRNA from 1 species